rnacentral:rRNA from 1 species
GCCAGCAGCCAUAUCACCCUGUAGCCCAAGACUGGUUGUCCACUGAAGCUAAGCAGGGCUGAGCCUGGUCAGUACCUGGAUGGGAGACCUCCUGGGAAAACUAGGUUCCUGCAUCCA